rnacentral:rRNA from 1 species
AAUGAACGCUGGCGGCAGGCCUAACACAUGCAAGUCGAACGCGCGGAGGGCGGGUGAGUGAUGUGUGGGAAAAUGCCUGAUGGAGGGGGAUAACUAAUGGAAACGGCAGCUAAUACCACAUACCAUCAGAGGUGCCGAGAUGGGAUUAGCUAGUAGGUGGGGAAAAGGCUCACCUAGGCGACGAUCCCUAGCUGGUCUGAGAGGAUGACCGGCCACACUGGAACUGAGACACGGUCCAGACUCCUACGGGAGGCAGCCGUGGGGAAUAUUGCACAAUGGGCGCAAGCCUGAUGCAGCCAUGCCGCGUGUAUGAAGAAGGCUUUCGGGUUGUAAAGUACUUUCAGCGGGGAGGCGGUACCCGCACAAGAAGCACCGGCUAACUCCGUGCCAGCAGCCGCGGUAAUUC